rnacentral:rRNA from 1 species
GUGGGGAAUAUUGGACAAUGGGCGCAAGCCUGAUCCAGCCAUGCCGCGUGAGUGAUGAAGGCCUUAGGGUUGUAAAGCUCUUUUGUCCGGGAAGAUAAUGACUGUACCGGAAGAAUAAGCCCCGGCUAACUUCGUGCCAGCAGCCGCGGUAAUACGAAGGGGGCUAGCGUUGCUCGGAAUCACUGGGCGUAAAGGGCGCGUAGGCGGACUCUUAAGUCGGGGGUGAAAGCCCAGGGCUCAACCCUGGAAUUGCCUUCGAUUCUGAGAGUCUUGAGUUCGGAAGAGGUUGGUGGAAUUGCGAGUGUAGAGGUGAAAUUCGUAGAUAUUCGCAAGAACACCAGUGGCGAAGGCGGCCAACUGGUCCGAUACUGACGCUGAGGCGCGAAAGCGUGGGGAGCAAACAGGAUUAGAAACCCCGGUAGUCC